GAUGAACGCUAGCUACAGGCUUAACACAUGCGAGUCGAGGGGCAGCGCAGUGUAGCAAUACAUGGGCGGCGACCGGCGCACGGGUGCGUAACGCGUAUCCAACCUUCCCGUUACUCAGGGAUAGCCUUCCGAAAGGGAGAUUAAUACCUGAUGGUGUUGAAAUUCCGCAUGUUAUUUCAACUAAAGAUUUAUCGGUAACGGAUGGGGAUGCGUGACAUUAGAUAGUAGGCGGGGUAACGGCCCACCUAGUCUACGAUGUCUAGGGGUUCUGAGAGGAAGGUCCCCCACACUGGAACUGAGACACGGUCCAGACUCCUACGGGAGGCAGCAGUGAGGAAUAUUGGUCAAUGGUCGGAAGACUGAACCAGCCAAGUAGCGUGAAGGAUGAAGGUUCUAUGGAUUGUAAACUUCUUUUAUACGGGAAUAAAACCUCCCACGUGUGGGAGCUUGUAUGUACCGUAUGAAUAAGCAUCGGCUAACUCCGUGCCAGCCGCCGCUGUAAUAC
rnacentral:rRNA from 1 species